AUUGAACGCUGGCGGCAGGCCUAACACAUGCAAGUCGAACGGUAACAGGAAGCAGCUUGCUGCUUUGCUGACGAGUGGCGGACGGGUGAGUAAUGUCUGGGAAACUGCCUGAUGGAGGGGGAUAACUACUGGAAACGGUAGCUAAUACCGCAUAACGUCGCAAGACCAAAGAGGGGGACCUUAGGGCCUCUUGCCAUCGGAUGCGCCCAGAUGGGAUUAGCUAGUAGGUGGGGUAACGGCUCACCUAGGCGACGAUCCCUAGCUGGUCUGAGAGGAUGACCAGCCACACUGGAACUGAGACACGGUCCAGACUCCUACGGGAGGCAGCAGUGGGGAAUAUUGCACCAUGGGCGCAAGCCUGAUGCAGCCAUGCCGCGUGUAUGAAGAAGGCCUUCGGGUUGUAAAGUACUUUCAGCGGGGAGGAAGGGAGUAAAGUUAAUACCUUUGCUCAUUGACGUUACCCGCAGAAGAAGCACCGGCUAACUCCGUG
rnacentral:rRNA from 1 species